GAUGAACGCUGGCGGCGUGCCUAAUACAUGCAAGUCGAGCGAACGGACGAGAAGCUUGCUUUUCUGAUGUUAGCGGCGGACGGGUGAGUAACACGUGGAUAACCUACCUAUAAGACUGGGAUACUUCGGGAAACCGGAGCUAAUACCGGAUAAUAUUUUGAACCGCAUGGUUCAAAAGUGAAAGACGGUCUUGCUGUCACUUAUAGAUGGAUCCGCGCUGCAUUAGCUAGUUGGUAAGGUAACGGCUUACCAAGGCAACGAUGCAUAGCCGACCUGAGAGGGUGAUCGGCCACACUGGAACUGAGACACGGUCCAGACUCCUACGGGAGGCAGCAGUAGGGAAUCUUCCGCAAUGGGCGAAAGCCUGACGGAGCAACGCCGCGUGAGUGAUGAAGGUCUUCGGAUCGUAAAACUCUGUUAUUAGGGAAUAACAUAUGUGUAAGUAACUGUGCACAUCUUGACGGUACCUAAUCAGAAAGCCACGGCUAACUACGUG
rnacentral:rRNA from 1 species